rnacentral:rRNA from 1 species
GUAAUGAUGGCCAGGCUGUCUCCACCCGAGACUCAGUGAAAUUGAACUCGCUGUGAAGAUGCAGUGUACCCGCGGCAAGACGGAAAGACCCCGUGAACCUUUACUAUAGCUUGACACUGAACAUUGAGCCUUGAUGUGUAGGAUAGGUGGGAGGCUUUGAAGUGUGGACGCCAGUCUGCAUGGAGCCGACCUUGAAAUACCACCCUUUAAUGUUUGAUGUUCUAACGUUGGCCCGUAAUCCGGGUUGCGGACAGUGUCUGGUGGGUAGUUUGACUGGGGCGGUCUCCUCCUAAAGAGUAACGGAGGAGCACGAAGGUUGGCUAAUCCUGGUCGGACAUCAGGAGGUUAGUGCAAUGGCAUAAGCCAGCUUGACUGCGAGCGUGACGGCGCGAGCAGGUGCGAAAGCAGGUCAUAGUGAUCCGGUGGUUCUGAAUGGAAGGGCCAUCGCUCAACGGAUAAAAGGUACUCCGGGGAUAACAGGCUGAUACCGCCCAAGAGUUCAUAUCGACGGCGGUGUUUGGCACCUCGAUGUCGGCUCAUCACAUCCUGGGGCUGAAGUAGGUCCCAAGGGUAUGGCUGUUCGCCAUUUAAAGUGGUACGCGAGCUGGGUUUAGAACGUCGUGAGACAGUUCGGUCCCUAUCUGCCGUGGGCGCUGGAGAACUGAGGGGGGCUGCUCCUAGUACGAGAGGACCGGAGUGGACGCAUCACUGGUGUUCGGGUUGUCAUGCCAAUGGCACUGCCCGGUAGCUAAAUGCGGAAGAGAUAAGUGCUGAAAGCAUCUAAGCACGAAACUUGCCCCGAGAUGAGUUCUCCCUGACUCCUUGAGAGUCCUGAAGGAACGUUGAAGACGACGACGUUGAUAGGCCGGGUGUGUAAGCGCAGCGAUGCGUUGAGCUAACCGGUACUAAUGAACCGUGAGGCUUAACCUU